GACGCGAUGGCCGAGUGGUUAAGGCGGUAGACUCGAAAAAAUUAAUUAAAAAAUUUUUAUUUCUUGAAAUCUACUUCCCUUUGGGAGCGCAGGUUCAAAUCCUGCUCGCGUCG